rnacentral:misc_RNA from 1 species
AAAAAAAAAAAAAAACAAAAAAGGUAAGCUUAUAAAAUGUAACAUUUUUUUUAUAAAAUAAUUAUUUGUAAAAAAAACUAUAAAAUUCUAAAAAAUAAUAACACUUAAAAAAUAUAUAUAUACUCUCUCAGAAAAACAGAACCAUUUUAGAUUAACAACAAUAAAUAGUGCUGUCUAUUUUUAACUUUUAAAUGUAAAUGAGGCAUUCAUUUUAUGAAAAAACGAGAGAAAAAAAAUCCCAUGAUUGCAUAAUUGUGCUACAUGCGGAUGCUUGACAACCUUAGAAGAAAUAAAGAAAACUAGACAAAAAAUUUUCAUGUUCGUACUUGCCGUACAUGCAUAUGCAGGAGAAAGAGAGCACAACAUAGAGAGAGGAACCUCACUUUUCAUUAAUCACCAAAUUUUCUAUCCUAAUUCCUUUUUGUGUGAGGGAAACAUGCCAAAGUUUGAUCUGUUAAUCCAAGCCCCAGCAAAAUUGGCACAUCCCAAUAAGAAUUAAAUUC